UGUGCUUGUUGACAUAAUUUUUAUAUUAUAAAUGAUAUUUGUCUUAUUUUAGCAUCUUUUUGUCCAUAUUAGUUAGGCGCGUUUAUAACGAUAUACUUCCGUGGAAUCCUGCAAAUUUUUUUGUUGUUGUAAUCGUUAACCGAAUUGAUAAGCCCCUAAAAUUGAUAAAUCGAAAUCGAAAAAAUCGAAACCUUAUUAGGACGAUAACGAUAAGCAUAUGUACAAAUCGAUAAGUAAUUAUCGAUAAGAGUCAAAAUUGAAUCGAUAAUUCGAAUGCACACCCCUAAUGGCUUCUUGUACAUGAUCACUUUUGGGAGAAUUCUUAGUCUCCCUAACAUAGGAAACCUCAAUUUGAGACUUUACAAAUGUAAGAGCUAGACUCUUAGUUAUCCAUUGGUUAUCCAUUUCCUAAAUAGAUAUUAUAGUUCUUAUCCAUAUUUGACCCGUUUUUAAAAAGUUUAUUAUCCAAGCCAUUUUUUAGUGGAUAAUAUGGAUGGUUAACUGUUUUCUUUGAACCAUUUUGCCACCUCUAAUCGGAUCCAAACUUCGUUACGUGAUUGCGAACGUGUAACUGAGACGACGACCUAUGGCCACCAUGCUCGAAACUUGGAAAAUGACUCACUCGGUUAUUUCCGAGAUGGGGCUCUCUGCCAAACCUCAAAUUGGUGGCUGGGGUAUCAUUUGGCAGUGGGUGGAGAAAGUGGUGAAGGCAAGGGUGGUGUUGGGUGAUCGCCAGUGACUGGCCAGAAAAUGGUUGUCGAAUUUUGGGAUUGAAAUUAACAUUAAUAGGUAGGUCUUGAAGAGCUCUAUCCCCUAAGGUAGGUAUUGAAGUGUUUUGGUGGCUGGAACUUCACGAAUUUAGGUAAAAAGGUAGCGGCUAGGAUAUCCUAUAUCUAAAUUUCAUAGAGUGUGAGGGGUUUUGAAGUAUUUUAUUUAAAGAUGUGGAAAGAGGAAGUUGUGAAAAUUAUAUAUUGAGAUUUUUAGGUCAAAUGGGAGUUUCCGGCGGUGGUUGGUGGCGGAGCCACGGCGGCGAUGCCUGAAGGGAGAAGCGGCGGGGAAGGAGGGGGAAUAAGAAAAGAGGGGCUCAAGGGUUUGGCUUUUUAG
rnacentral:lncRNA from 1 species